rnacentral:rRNA from 1 species
GAUGAACGCUGGCGGCGUGCCUAAUACAUGCAAGUCGAGCGAACAGACGAGGAGCUUGCUCCUCUGACGUUAGCGGCGGACGGGUGAGUAACACGUGGAUAACCUACCUAUAAGACUGGGAUAACUUCGGGAAACCGGAGCUAAUACCGGAUAAUAUAUUGAACCGCAUGGUUCAAUAGUGAAAGACGGUUUUGCUGUCACUUAUAGAUGGAUCCGCGCCGCAUUAGCUAGUUGGUAAGGUAACGGCUUACCAAGGCAACGAUGCGUAGCCGACCUGAGAGGGUGAUCGGCCACACUGGAACUGAGACACGGUACAGACUCCGACGGGAGGCAGCAGUAGGGAAGCGUCCGCAAUGGGCGAAAGCCUGACGGAGCAACGCCGCGUGAGUGAUGAAGGUCUGCGGAUCGUAAAACGCUGUUAUGAGGGAAGAACAAAUGUGUAAGUAACUAUGCACGUCUUGACGGUACCUAAUCAGAAAGCCACGGCUAACUACGUG